ACUCCAUGUUCAGCAUGAAGGAGAACUGCAUGAUCCAGGGAGGUUUAGGGGACCAAGAAGGUGGAUAGGCUCUAACUGGGGCAGGCAGCAGGUGCGGCUGCAGAAAAGCGAAGGACUCCGAGCCCCGUGGUGCCUGCCUAAGAGUGAGCCAAACUCAGAAAGCCUGAGGCCCUUCUAGAUGAAAGGUGACUGAUGCAAAGCUUGAUCCCAGAUUGGAUCUGGGUUAUGGGAAGACAGCUCACCAGGGACUAUUUAAGGGCAAUUGGCGAAAUGUAGACAUGGAAGAUGGACCAGACAACAGCAUGAGAUGAAUGUUAAAUUUCCUGAUUUUGAUCCUUGUUCUGUGGCUAUGUUCCGGGGCCCUGUGGUGGCUUGUGCACACUGCAGUCUAUCUGCAGGCUCACUUUGGCGUAGGACGGCACCUGGACCCACUGGAUUCCGGCUCCCAUGCUCCCCUCUGGAAGUACAAGUCCUGGGCCAGGCGCAUGUGAACCUCCAUGGUGAAUGCAGCAGCUUCCUCUGCAGAUUCCUAGCGAGGUAGUGGCUGGAUGCCGCGAGAGACAGAUGAACCUCCUGUUUGUCCUCAAGGCGGGUAGUUUCCGUGUAGGAUCUCGCUUGUCCUUACAGGUGCCAUCUGAUCCUUGCUCACAUCC
rnacentral:lncRNA from 1 species